rnacentral:lncRNA from 1 species
CAGACGAGUCGGGAGCGGUCUUCUCUAGCUCUGAUGAGUUAACUCGCUUGGGCUCAGGCGAGUCAUCAAAUGCGUCCAAUCCUGACUCAACUCGGGUCCGCUUAUUACUGUUAUUAUUAUUCUCAGUUUUCAACUCUUUUUUCAUGUUGAGACAAAAGCCUUAACAACUGAUGUGAAGAGAUUUCUCAAAAUUAUAAAAUCCAAGAAUAGGACAAUAGGUGGGGGCUAGUGGGGUAACUACUCUAGGCACAAAGUCUAGAAAGAUAAAAUGAGCUUUGGAAAAAAAAAGAGGGAAGGGCAAAAGAGAGAUAUUAGCUUUUGGUAGUUGUAAGUCCUUGUUUGGUUAUAGGAAAGAAGAAAGAGAGAGAAGAGGGAAAAAUAUUUUGAAGCAAUGAAGGAGAUAAGGAAGGGGAAGAUAGUUUAUAUAGUGGGAGAGAAAAGGAGGGGGACCAAAGGGUGAGAGGGAUAAGAUUUGGUUGUGUGUGUGAGAGAAGGAAGAGAGAGAAGGGGAGAAACGAGACAAAAGAUGCUGUUUUCAGGUUGAGAUGCAAAGGUGGAGAGAAGUGGAGCUGGCAAUUAUAGUAGUCCCAUCUUAAGUAUUCGUUUGGCCAUAAAACAAAUGUUUAUUUUCUAGGGAUUAUUUUUCUUUUUUAAAUUAAAAAAUUAGUGUUUGGCUUUUAUUUAAGUACACAUAUGUCCAUAUUGAUAGGGUUUACAACACACAGUAUUUUACCAAAGAGCAACAUAUUCAAUAUAUUUAUUUUCAUAAUAAAACCAAAUAUGAAGGAUAAAGUGCAUAAAAUUUAUAUUUCUACGUUAACAGAUACAUAGAGUAGAGAGAUUGUUUUCAAUAAAUUUUUGGCUAAAACUAAAGUAAUUGGUUAGAAAAAAAUUAAUAUAAAAAUAAGAGAUAAUAAAAAAUAACACAAUAAAUACUGACAGAAAAAAGAUUACCACAAAGUAGUGUUAUAAUUAAUUUAUCUGAAACAACAACAUUAUCAAAACUUCAAAACUAAAGACACUACGGAAUCAUUUGAUGGAUAUACAGAAUAAAUAAUUUCAAAAUAAAAUGAAAAAUUAUUUUAUUUCAUAUUUGAUGUGAGGUAUUAAUUAGUAUCGAAAUUCCAUAAAAGUCAUCCUCAUCUUUUCCUAAUAACUUCAUUAAUUUACCUCUUUUAUCCCUAUCAGCACAUUCAUCGUCGCCGUUUUCAAUUUUACUACUUUUGUCCUCUGGGAUACAAGGAACUUUAUAGCACCGCGCUGCAUUUUAUACUGUACGGCUACUCUAUUACAUCAUCAUUAAUUUUUUAUUACUUUCUCCGUUUCAUUUGGUGUGAUCAUUUUUUUUAAUUCAUUUUAAAAAACAUAUCAUACUUUUUUAUUUAAUAAAUAUUUAAAAACAUAAUUACAUCUUUAUCUUUAUUAAACCCACUUAAUUAAAAAUAAAUAGCGACACAUUUUUAAUAAAAGACAACCUGAUAAAUAUUUUUUAUUUUUUUAAUUUUGUGCCCGAUCAAAUAACACAUAAAAUGAGAGGGAGAGGGAGUACUAAAUACUACCCUUCUCUACUAGUAUAUGACUUGUGAAUCACAUAAAUUAUGUAUAUUUCUUUUGUAAAAUAGAAAAAUAUCACACAAACGUAAGAGCAACGAAUCAAUAGGAGUACAAAGGAGAAAAUCGUCUUUCUUUGUUUUCCUCGCAUUAAAAACAGAAUUUAUACUGAUAAUAUAUUCAAUACUGUAUAAUAGCGCAUGGCAGAAAACAGAAAUACAAUUUGUUUGUUCUAGCAACUUUCUUUGCUUCAAUAAUUAAAUGGGCUAAAAUUAAGCUAAUUGUGUGUGAGUAAUUCUACUGUAUUUUUGGCACUUGGCUGGGUAGACAGUUCAAAUGAGCAAAUUAUAUAAGGAUGAUGUAAAAUUUCCAAAUUCUACCAUCUGAAAACACUUGAUUCUAAAGUAUUGAAUUUCAAAUUUAGCUUUCCUAUUUUUAUGCUGUGCUGCUUUCUGGUUUUCAGAUGUACAAACUAACGCUACCAUUCACAUAACCAAAAAAGUUUCAUCAGUUCAUAGAGCGGGUAAGGAUUCCUGCCGCCAUGAAAAUUCAGAAAAAUCCGACGGCUCCGGGUAAUCAAACAACCCGCCGACUGUUAAAAAGUCGCCGUUGCUAUUACCUCCGUCAUUAUCUCCUUCCCUGAGGUCAUGCUCCAUGCCAAAAUCGAACGUGUCGUAAUUAGGCAUAUCGUCCUCAAAUCUCGCCAUGUUAACGAAUUCAGCUGCCUCAGGCAUGACGUCAGAUUCGGCAUUAACGUUGUGAUCGUUUACCGGAGAUAUUGUCGGAGGUAGACCGAGCUCAUCGUCGGAAGCUUCGAGAAGGUAACCGAGGUCCGUUUGAGAUUCGCCGGAUUCCGAUGGAUUCAGAUCGAGAACGGUCUGAGAAUCGUCGUGAAGAGGUGAGUGAUGAAGGAUUUCUUCCUCAAAACUCUUCAUGACGGAAUCCAGAUCCUGAAUCUCCGGCGGACAUUCGUUCAGAGCAUCAGGCUCAUCUAAGAUAUCCAAUAUAUCUUCUCUUAUCUGCUUAGCCUCCGGCGAAUCCAGGUACACAUCUUUUCGCACGUCAUCGGAAUCCGAUGAGUUGACUCGGUUCAACUCAGACGAGUCGGGAGCGGUCUUCUCUAGCUCUGAUGAGUUAACUCGCUUGGGCUCAGGCGAGUCAUCAAAUGCGUCCAAUCCUGACUCAAUUCGGGUCCGCUUAUUACUGUUAUUAUUUUUCUCAGUUUUCAACUCUUUUUUCAUGUUGAGACAAAAGCCUUAACAACUGAUGUGAAGAGAUUUCUCAAAAUUAUAAAAUCCAAGAAUAGGACAAUAGGUGGGGGCUAGUGGGGUAACUACUCUAGGCACAAAGUCUAGAAAGAUAAAAUGAGCUUUGGAAAAAAAAAGAGGGAAGGGCAAAAGAGAGAUAUUUGCUUUUGGUAGUUGUAAGUCCUUGUUUGGUUAUAGGAAAGAAGAAAGAGAGCGAAGAGGGAAAAAUAUUUUGAAGCAAUGAAGGAGAUAAGGAAGGGGAAGAUAGUUUAUAUAGUGGGAGAGAAAAGGAGGGGGACCAAAGGGUGAGAGGGAUAAGAUUUGGUUGUGUGUGUGAGAGAAGGAAGAGAGAGAAGGGGAGAAACGAGACAAAAGAUGCUGUUUUCAGGUUGAGAUGCAAAGGUGGAGAGAA